GUGAGGAAUAUUGGUCAAUGGGCGGGAGCCUGAACCAGCCAAGUCGCGUGAAGGAAGAAGGAUCUAUGGUUCGUAAACUUCUUUUGCAGGGGAAUAAAGUGCAGGACGUGUCCUGUUUUGUAUGUACCCUGAGAAUAAGGAUCGGCUAACUCCGUGCCAGCAGCCGCGGUAAUACGGAGGAUCCGAGCGUUAUCCGGAUUUAUUGGGUUUAAAGGGUGCGUAGGUGGUUUGAUAAGUCAGUGGUGAAAGUUUGCAGCUUAACUGUAAAAAUGCCGUUGAAACUGUCGGACUUGAGUGUAAAUGAGGUAGGCGGAAUGCGUGGUGUAGCGGUGAAAUGCAUAGAUAUCACGCAGAACUCCGAUUGCGAAGGCAGCUUACUAAGCUACAACUGACACUGAAGCACGAAAGCGUGGGGAUCAAACAGGAUUAGAUACCCCGGUAGUCC
rnacentral:rRNA from 1 species